rnacentral:rRNA from 1 species
GAUGAACGCUGGCGGCGUGCCUAAUACAUGCAAGUCGAGCGAACGGACGAGAAGCUUGCUUCUCUGAUGUUAGCGGCGGACGGGUGAGUAACACGUGGAUAACCUACCUAUAAGACUGGGAUAACUUCGGGAAACCGGAGCUAAUACCGGAUAAUACUUUGAACCGCAUGGUUCAAAAGUGAAAGACGGUCUUGCUGUCACUUAUAGAUGGAUCCGCGCUGCAUUAGCUAGUUGGUAAGGUAACGGCUUACCAAGGCAACGAUGCAUAGCCGACCUGAGAGGGUGAUCGGCCACACUGGAACUGAGACACGGUCCAGACUCCUACGGGAGGCAGCAGUAGGGAAUCUUCCGCAAUGGGCGAAAGCCUGACGGAGCAACGCCGCGUGAGUGAUGAAGGUCUUCGGAUCGUAAAACUCUGUUAUUAGGGAAGAACAUAUGUGUAAGUAACUGUGCACAUCUUGACGGUACCUAAUCAGAAAGCCACGGCUAACUACGUGCCAGCAGCCGCGGUAAUACGUAGGUGGCAAGCGUUAUCCGGAAUUAUUGGGCGUAAAGCGCGCGUAGGCGGUUUUUUAAGUCUGAUGUGAAAGCCCACGGCUCAACCGUGGAGGGUCAUUGGAAACUGGAAAACUUGAGUGCAGAAGAGGAAAGUGGAAUUCCAUGUGUAGCGGUGAAAUGCGCAGAGAUAUGGAGGAACACCAGUGGCGAAGGCGACUUUCUGGUCUGUAACUGACGCUGAUGUGCGAAAGCGUGGGGAUCAAACAGGAUUAGAUACCCUGGUAGUCCACGCCGUAAACGAUGAGUGCUAAGUGUUAGGGGGUUUCCGCCCCUUAGUGCUGCAGCUAACGCAUUAAGCACUCCGCCUGGGGAGUACGACCGCAAGGUUGAAACUCAAAGGAAUUGACGGGGACCCGCACAAGCGGUGGAGCAUGUGGUUUAAUUCGAAGCAACGCGAAGAACCUUACCAAAUCUUGACAUCCUUUGACAACUCUAGAGAUAGAGCCUUCCCCUUCGGGGGACAAAGUGACAGGUGGUGCAUGGUUGUCGUCAGCUCGUGUCGUGAGAUGUUGGGUUAAGUCCCGCAACGAGCGCAACCCUUAAGCUUAGUUGCCAUCAUUAAGUUGGGCACUCUAAGUUGACUGCCGGUGACAAACCGGAGGAAGGUGGGGAUGACGUCAAAUCAUCAUGCCCCUUAUGAUUUGGGCUACACACGUGCUACAAUGGACAAUACAAAGGGCAGCGAAACCGCGAGGUCAAGCAAAUCCCAUAAAGUUGUUCUCAGUUCGGAUUGUAGUCUGCAACUCGACUACAUGAAGCUGGAAUCGCUAGUAAUCGUAGAUCAGCAUGCUACGGUGAAUACGUUCCCGGGUCU